rnacentral:rRNA from 1 species
AGGCCAGUGAAUGGCAAGACUAGGAAUAUCUGUACUUUGUAUAUGAAAAAAACUUUUCAUCUAAGUGAAAAGACUUAGAUAAUAAAGGAAGACGAAAAGACCCCGCGGAACUUUACCUUUUCUCAUACCUCUGUCUACAAACUUAAAAGUCUAUAAGGUUUGAUUGGGGCAAUCUUGGAACCAACAAAGCUUCCAACGACUUACAAUAUUUAUACAAAAUUUGUUAAAGACUAAAAAGUAGUUACCCCGGGGAUAACAGCGUAAUCCAACUAAAGAGUACACAUCGAAAGUUGGGUUUGCGACCUCGAUGUUGGCUUAAGGAUAUCCACAUAAGUGCAACCGCUAUGACAGGAUAGUCUGUUCGACUAUUAUACCCUUACAUGAUCUGAGUUCAGACCGGAG